UACGGAGGAUGCGAGCGUUAUCCGGAUUUAUUGGGUUUAAAGGGUGCGUAGGCGGCAUUAUAAGUUAGUGGUAAAAUAUUGGGGCUUCACCUCACUACGCCAUUAAUACUGUAGAGCUAGAGAACAGACGAGGUAGGCGGAAUAAGUUAAGUAGCGGUGAAAUGCAUAGAUAUAACUUAGAACACCGAUAGCGAAGGCAGCUUACCAGACUGAGUCUGACGCUGAUGCACGAGAGCAUGGGUAGC
rnacentral:rRNA from 1 species